UACGGGGGGGGCAAGCGUUGUUCGGAAUUACUGGGCGUAAAGGGCUCGUAGGCGGCCAACUAAGUCGGAUGUGAAAUCCCCAGGCUCAACCUGGGAACUGCAUCCGAUACUGGAUGGCUUGAAUUCGGGAGAGGGAUGCAGAAUUCCAGGUGUAGCGGUGAAAUGCGUAGAUAUCAGGAGGAACACCGGUGGCGAAGGCGGGUCUCUGGGCAACAACUGACGCUGAGGAGCGAAAGCGUGGGGAGCGAACAGG
rnacentral:rRNA from 1 species